AAGAAAGAAGAAGAAGAAGAGGAGGAGGAGGAGGAGGAGGAGGAGGAGGCUGGAAGAUGAGAUGGGAUUACUAACUCUAUGAAGCAAAGGCACAGAGGUGCUAGAAGAGGAUUGUAAUGAUGGAUCUUUCUGCCAGCCGCCUGAGUUCCACCCGCUACAACGUUAAAGUCCCAAGUAACACAGAGAGACUUACAUUAGGACACUGGCGGAAUGCAUCCUGUCUUCCUGGCGAUCACAUGACGACUCCACAGAGAAGAGAGGAGAAGGAAGAGAAAGAGCGUGAUUUCCUGCUUGUCCCUGUUUAUAUUCUGAGUCUGCCUACUAUGUCACUUCCUGCCUGGAUCACAAGACUUCUCUUUACUACAUUUCCCAAAAUCCUCCUUGACUCCUAGUCCCACCUAACUUGCUUCUUCAUUUCCCAACAGUACUUUAUUCAACAACCAAUAAGAUAAACAUACAUAGAAGGACUUGCCCUAUCAGAGGAUGCUUGCAGCAACCAAGAUAGUGACAGAGAAUGGCUGUCACAUAUGGCACUUAGAGUUUGUUACCAAUAUAAGAAACUCUUUCUCGAUAUUAUAUGUAAUGGAUACUCAUUAGAACAAACACAAACUCUCUUUCAAAAGUUUGUCUUUGUGCAUAUGUAUAUUUGUA
rnacentral:lncRNA from 1 species